AACGAAUCAAUUUUUGGGGAAGACCGAAUAAACCAGGUUCACUUGCCAAACCUAAAAAAAACCUUCUCACUUCCCACAGUCUCUUCACUCAUUAAAGCCUUAAAAUAAACUUUAACAACCACACCUUCAACAUCGUCACUCUUUAGUCUCCCUGUUGUUUUUAAUUUCUGUGUGGUGGAAUUUGAAUUUCGUUCGAUCCCACGCUACAUAAACACAUCAAGAAUCUUUACUCAAGAUGACGCGGGGAAAGCAUAAAAUCAAAGCGCAGAAGCGUUACGCUGAAAAGAAUCAGAAAUCCAAAGGCUCUCAGAUUGAAGCCAGAGUCGACCCUUUCUUGUGUUCUUCCACAAUCUUAUGCCAUCGAAUCAACCGAUUUAGGUCAUGUUUAUUUGUAAUUUCAAUUUUGAUUGACUGAGAAAUUGUUGGUUUAGAUGAUUCAAUUAUUGAUUUGUUAAUUCUGUAUGGGGUUAGGGUCACAAUGGAAUGUUAGGUGAAUGAAAUGUUUUGUAUUUUGUAACCUUUUUGUUGAGGAUUGGAUUAAUUGUGUGGAUGAGAAAAUACAGUUCUUUACAAACUAUGGCAUUGAAGUUGUGAUUAUUGUUAUGCUUCUUGCUAACUUUUUAUGUUUUUGCUGAUAAACAUGGCCUUAGCGUUCGUGGAAGAUAAGGGAUGAUCGGUGAAAGAAGCGGCGAAGGCUUCCUGUAGCUGGAGAUGGAAAGCGAAUUCGAUCUCCUCGGAUUUGGGAAGCCAUUAUUGAGUAUCUUCUACCUAAAGGUUUAGGAAAAACAUACAAGGCUUUGCUUUUUGGCUGCUCAGAGAGUUUGGUAUUGGAAUUGUACCAUAUAGUCCUCUUGGUCAUAGUUUUUUCGGUGACAAAGGAGUUCUGAAAAAUGUACCUGCAGUUAGCACCUUGGUUGUUUAUAAUGGAAAUGCGCUUGCAUCAAUAGUUAAACAGAAGAAGAAAUGCAAAACUGGUAUGUUUACUAUCAUAACAAAUAUUAAAGAAACCCUUCAAAGAGACCAACUACUCGAAUAGCUUUCUCUUCGUGGUUGCUUUGGGAACUACAAUAUCAUAUGUUUAUUCUAUUUGUGCUCUUCUGUAUAUUGCUCUUACUGGAUUUUUGUCUACAACAUACUUUGAAACCAAUGUUGUGCUUAUAACAUGUGUAUUGAUGGGCAAGUAUUUUGAUCUCCUGUUUUCUCUCUAUCAUAAUAGAUUUUAUGUACUGAUAACAUUUUGAUUUAUUCUAUUGAUCAUAUUUUCUCAUAGGAAACUAGAUAUAGGUUACGCCAUUCGGAUUUGAUGAUUAAUUUAAAGGUUCAAGAAAUAUUCGAGAUUAUGUCUAAAAUCAUUUUCUACAUUAGGUUCUUCUUGGACAACCUUGAUUUCUUAGAGGUUUGUUCCCUGCCUUGAAUAUUCUCAUGACCAAAUUGUUUGAUUUCAUUAAAGACAUUAAUAGGCGUCAAUAAUAAUAGAAGAUUGUGGUAAGUGCUCACCAGAAAGAAAUUUUCAAAUUUCACUUACUGUCAGGAAAUAGGAACUGUCAAGACUAGAUGUCAAGUUAGGAAAUAGGAAUAUUGUCUUUGGUUGAUAGACAAUAUAAGCACAUGCUAUUUAGAUACCAGAUCUUCCUCAGCUUAUAGCAAAGGUGUUGCAAUUGAUGAAUGGGAUGGGGUAACUUCACAGCUUCCAAAUAAAUCUUGAACUACUCUUUGGUUUUGCCUUUGAACUCCUCAACGUAACAACGACAAAUUGGAACAACCACUCUCAUGAACUAAAUCGAUCACAACCUUCAUCAGAUCCAAUGAUUUGUAGCUCCAAAACCGUGAAGACGCUUCAAUUGUGAGCACACCACAACUUCCAAACCAAAACUGUGGAUCUCUGUCAAACUACAACAUAAACACCGAUUUGCAGCUAUGACACGGCAGCUCUACUUUUGGUAAUAAAUUUGGUUCAGAUUUACCUAUUUUUUGUGGUGUUAGUAUUGUUAGUGUGAUAUCUGGUUUUGAGUAUUUUGUUUACUAUUCAUCUUGCUGGAUUUUUUAUUUUUUGUUGAGUUGAUUUUUCUUUUGUAAUAAUAAUAAAGGUACGAGUGUUGCGUAAACGGUUGUUUGAAAUUUGGCUGGUAAUUCGAAUGAGCCAAUUUUGUGGGGCAUUUGCUUUUAUAAUUUUCACAAGAGUUUUAUUUGAUUUGUUUAUGAAAACUACCUUCUCAUGGAUUAAUGGUGAGAAUGUUGUUCUGUUUGUAAAAGAAACUCUAAAAUGAGAGAAAGAAGCAUUACUGUUC